rnacentral:pre_miRNA from 1 species
AAAGGUUUUUUUCGGGACAGAGAUGAGAAAGACUCAGCUAUUUGUUGAAAAUGAAAUAUCUGUGAAGCGAAAAACCUUUUUUUUUAUUCAACAAACAACUGAGCUUCCUCAUCUCUGUCACAAUAAGAGAUCUAUG